UCCGCCCGGAUGUGACCGCAAAUGGCCAGUGGGCCGGUGGCCGACGGGUUGAAAACUAAGGCUGCACGCCUGCCCGGAGGUGAGAGGAGAGUAGCAGCCGUGCCUUCAGACUCCGAUUUGCGACUCCGGGGGACUGAGUGAGAAUAAGUUGAACCCCUUACCCCAGGCAGUGGCCCGCGGCACCCCUUCCUACUGCACCAGCCCGCCCCUGCCCGGAGCGCGCCAGCGUCUCCAGUUUCCCAUUGAUGAGCGGAGGGAGGGAAGGCAGAUUCCGCACGCGGCGGCGGAAUCUCCAGAGCCCCGGGUCCCCUAGGGUAGGAUCCUCCACUAUCAAGCCCCAGGAGGCGGCCGGCCACUGCCCAGCUACGGGGAACGUUUUGCUUGCACUUUACAGAAAGCCAGACCCGGGAUUAAGGGAAGGAGGGAAACGUCUGCCACAGCUCAGUCUAAGAGGAAGAAGCAAGCUGAGUUCAACCUCCCCUGUUAAAUAUUGCAAGGUGACACAGGAUCGCCUCCCACACAGGGAUUUUCAAAAGGACUAGGGGAGGAAACACAGUAAACAGGAAAGAUGUUUUCCCGAGGUGAAGUUUUUCGGUGUAAGAUCUCCCAAGGACUCUUCAGACCGAGGGGUUUCUAAUCUGUGUGCCUGAACUCCAAACAGCAGCUUCGCACUGAAUUAGAAACCUAGGAACUCCGCGUUUGGCUAGCUGCUGCUCGCGAUUCACCGCUCCAUUCACGCCCAGACAGGGAAAUACCGACAUUAAUGCACUCCAGGGAGACGCACAGGGCUCCCGGGAACAGUAUCACGCGAAAGCAUCACCUACCAGUUUUCCUGCAUCCAUUGGAUCGCUUCAUUCUCGUUGAACUGCUUUUCGAAUUCAUAUUCUUGUAAAGUCAACACUGACAUGUUCAUUGGGGCUGAUCUUCGGAGUCCCUACGUGUUCUCUACACAAAAUAAAAUAAUCUGUAAAGCGCUU